CCAACUUCGGUUAUAAGAUCCCUCAAAGAUGAUGAGGUUAAUAGGUUCGAGGUGGAAGCAUGGUGACAUGUGGAGCUGACGAAUACUAAUCGAUCGAAGACUUAAUCAA
rnacentral:rRNA from 1 species